rnacentral:rRNA from 1 species
AGUAACGGCGAGUGAAGCGGCAACAGCUCAAAUUUGAAAUCUGGCUCUUUUAGAGUCCGAGUUGUAAUUUGCAGAGGGCGCUUUGGCUUUGGCAGCGGUCCAAGUUCCUUGGAACAGGACGUCACAGAGGGUGAGAAUCCCGUACGUGGUCGCUAGCUAUUGCCGUGUAAAGCCCCUUCGACGAGUCGAGUUGUUUGGGAAUGCAGCUCUAAAUGGGAGGUAAAUUUCUUCUAAAGCUAAAUACUGGCCAGAGACCGAUAGCGCACAAGUAGAGUGAUCGAAAGAUGAAAAGCACUUUGGAAAGAGAGUCAAACAGCACGUGAAAUUGUUGAAAGGGAAGCGCUUGCAGCCAGACUUGCUUGCAGUUGCUCAUCCGGGCUUUUGCCCGGUGCACUCUUCUGCAGGCAGGCCAGCAUCAGUUUGGGCGGUGGGAUAAAGGUCUCUGUCACGUACCUCUCUUCGGGGAGGCCUUAUAGGGGAGACGACAUACCACCAGCCUGGACUGAGGUCCGCGCAUUCGCUAGGAUGCUGGCGUAAUGGCUGUAAGCGGCCCGUCUUGAAACACGGACCAAGGAGUCUAACAUCUAUGCGAGUGUUUGGGUGUCAAGCCCGAACGCGUAAUGAAAGUGAACGGAGGUGGGAACCCGCAAGGGUGCACCAUCGACCGAUCCUGAUGUCUUCGGAAGGAUUUGAGUAAGAGCAUGGCUGUUGGGACCCGAAAGAUGGUGAACUAUGCUUGAAUAGGGUGAAGCCAGAGGAAACUCUGGUGGAGGCUCGCAGCGGUUCUGACGUGCAAAUCGAUCGUCAAA